rnacentral:ncRNA from 1 species
GAAGUGCGAACCAAGCGUCGGUGCAAACCGUGUAAGUCUUGGAGCGGAUAGUCGCAAGACUGUCCUGCA